rnacentral:rRNA from 1 species
UACAGAGGUCCCAAGCGUUGUUCGGAUUCACUGGGCGUAAAGGGUGCGUAGGUGGUGAGGUAAGUCGGAUGUGAAAGCUCGGAGCUCAACUCCGAAAUGGCAUUGGAAACUACCUUGCUCGAGGGUUGGAGGGGGGACUGGAAUGCUUGGUGUAGCAGUGAAAUGCGUAGAUAUCGUAAGGAAGACCAGUGGCGAAGGCGGGUCUCUGGACAGUUCCUGACACUGAGACACGAAGGCCAGGGGAGCAAACGGG